GUUACGCUUUGCAUGUAUGCAGGAUCCACAGUUUUGCAAAAUAGGCGCCCAAUAAAUAUUAAGGUCCAUGUCACCUUCUAACAUUAUUGGUACACUCCACUACCGGUAAUGGAUUACAGAGAACUAAAGCGAAUAAGAUUUUGAAUUGAAAGGUACUAGAAGAAGCAGCACAGUGACCCUAGCAGAGGUAAUCGUACAUUAGUUCCAAUGACUAGCGGCUGGCAAAGGAAAUCCCGGCCCACAAGUCACAUCACGCGAGACUUGCGCCAGGACUACACGUAAGCGCGGUGACGCAUUACGUAGCCGACUUUUUGGAGAGGGACGGCAUAACUCAACGUUACAAAAUCGGAAGUUGCAGGAAAGCGGUGGUAGGCAUGUUCACAACAUGUUAUCUGCUGCUCGCACCUCCUACUAUUGAUAGAAAAGAACUAAUAAAGAACUUCAUUUCA